AUUGAACGCUGGCGGCAUGCUUUACACAUGCAAGUCGAACGGUAACAGGGUGCUUGCACCGCUGACGAGUGGCGAACGGGUGAGUAAUGCGUCGGAACGUGCCGAGUAGUGGGGGAUAACGCAUCGAAAGGUGCGCUAAUACCGCAUACGUACUGAGGUAGAAAGUGGGGGACCUUCGGGCCUCACGCUAUUCGAGCGGCCGACGUCUGAUUAGCUAGUUGGUGAGGUAAAGGCUCACCAAGGCGACGAUCAGUAGCGGGUCUGAGAGGAUGAUCCGCCACACUGGGACUGAGACACGGCCCAGACUCCUACGGGAGGCAGCAGUGGGGAAUUUUGGACAAUGGGCGCAAGCCUGAUCCAGCCAUGCCGCGUGUCUGAAGAAGGCCUUCGGGUUGUAAACUGCUUUUGUACGGAACGAAAAGGUCUGGCCUAAUAAGCUGAGCUCAUGACGGUACCGUAAGAAUAAGCACCGGCUAACUACGUGCCAGCCGCCGCAGUAAUAC
rnacentral:rRNA from 1 species